rnacentral:rRNA from 1 species
GACGAACGCUGGCGGCGUGCCUAAUACAUGCAAGUCGAACGCUGAAGGAGGAGCUUGCUUCUCUGGUUGAGUUGCGAACGGGUGAGUAACGCGUAGGUAACCUGCCUGGUAGCGGGGGAUAACUAUUGGAAACGAUAGCUAAUACCGCAUAAGAGUAGAUGUUGCAUGACAUUUGCUUAAAAGGUGCACUUGCAUCACUAUCAGAUGGACCUGCGUUGUAUUAGCUAGUUGGUGGGGUAACGGCUCACCAAGGCGACGAUACAUAGCCGACCUGAGAGGGGGAUCGGCCACACUGGGACUGAGACACGGCCCAGACUCCUACGGGAGGCAGCAGUAGGGAAUCUUCGGCAAUGGACGGAAGUCUGACCGAGCAACGCCGCGUGAGUGAAGAAGGUUUUCGGAUCGUAAAGCUCUGUUGUAAGAGAAGAACGAGUGUGAGAGUGGAAAGUUCACACUGUGACGGUAACUUACCAGAAAGGGACGGCUAACUACGUG